UGGGGAAUAUUGGACAAUGGGGGCAACCCUGAUCCAGCGAUGCCGCGUGAGUGAAGAAGGCCUUCGGGUCGUAAAGCUCUUUAGGUUGGGAAGAAGCGUAUAAGGUUAAUACCCUUGUACGUUGACGGUACUGACAGAAUAAGCACCGGCAAACUCUGUGCCAGCAGCCGCGGUAAUACAGAGGGUGCAAGCGUUAAUCGGAGUUACUGGGCGUAAAGGGCGCGUAGGCGGUUGUGUGAGUGUGAUGUGAAAGCCCCGGGCUUAACCUGGGAAGUGCAUCGCAAACGACAUAACUGGAGUAGAUGAGAGGGUGGCGGAAUUUCCGGUGUAGCGGUGAAAUGCGUAGAGAUCGGAAGGAACGUCAAUGGCGAAGGCAGCCACCUGGCAUCAUACUGACGCUGAGGCGCGAAAGCGUGGGGAGCGAACA
rnacentral:rRNA from 1 species